rnacentral:rRNA from 1 species
UACGAAGGGGGCUAGCGUUGCUCGGAAUCACUGGGCGUAAAGCGCACGUAGGCGGCUUGUUAAGUCAGGGGUGAAAUCCUGGAGCUCAACUCCAGAACUGCCUUUGAUACUGGCGAGCUUGAGUCCGGGAGAGGUGAGUAGAACUGCGAGUGUAGAGGUGAAAUUCGUAGAUAUUCGCAAGAACACCAGUGGCGAAGGCGGCUCACUGGCCCGGUACUGACGCUGAGGUGCGAAAGCGUGGGGAGCAAACAGG